CCUACGGGAGGCAGCAGUGAGGAAUAUUGGUCAAUGGACGAGAGUCUGAACCAGCCAAGUAGCGUGAAGGAUGACUGCCCUAUGGGUUGUAAACUUCUUUUAUAUGGGAAUAAAAUGUUCCACGUGUGGGAUUUUGUAUGUACCAUAUGAAUAAGGAUCGGCUAACUCCGUGCCAGCAGCCGCGGUAAUACGGAGGAUCCGAGCGUUAUCCGGAUUUAUUGGGUUUAAAGGGAGCGUAGGUGGAUUGUUAAGUCAGUUGUGAAAGUUUGCGGCUCAACCGUAAAAUUGCAGUUGAAACUGGCAGUCUUGAGUACAGUAGAGGUGGGCGGAAUUCGUGGUGUAGCGGUGAAAUGCUUAGAUAUCACGAAGAACUCCGAUUGCGAAGGCAGUUCACUGGACUGAAACUGACACUGAGGCUCGAAAGUGUGGGUAUCAAACAGGAUUAGAUACCCGAGUAGUC
rnacentral:rRNA from 1 species